UACGUAGGCAGCGAGCGUUGUUCGGAGUUACUGGGCGUAAAGGGUGUGUAGGCGGUUGUUUAAGUUUGGGGUGAAAUCUCCCGGCUCAACUGGGAGGGUGCGCCGAAUACUGAAUGACUUGGAGUGCGGGAGAGGAAAGUGGAAUUCCUGGUGUAGCGGUGAAAUGCGUAGAUAUCAGGAGGAACACCGGUGGUGUAGACGGCUUUCUGGACCGUAACUGACGCUGAGACACGAAAGCGUGGGUAGCGAACAGG
rnacentral:rRNA from 1 species